GGAGAUAAUAAAACAAACUUAUAGAACUUGUUGAAAAAUAAUAGAUAUCCUCACCCUUCCCACUCCAGUGAGCAAGGUGUCUUGCCAAUAGUCAAUUGUUAAUGAAAACAAGCACCCCACUUUUUCCUUGUAUCUGAAUUUCUUUCAGAUUCCACCCAGGUCAUCCAUAUUCUGAUCUGGGAUCAACACUGCUCUCCUCCUAUUCCUACCGUACCAGAAAGGCCAUAUCUUUAGGUCUCAUGCAAGGAUACACUAGUAGAAUGGUUAGAACCUGGAUUUGAUUCCUACUUUUCCCCAUAUUUGUGCUCAGUAUCUUCAGAUACCGCUGGCUUUGCUCCAUCCCUUUGGCAAGACAGCACACCCAGAGCUGGAGUAUGCUGCUCAUUUGGGAAGGGGAGAUGUCCUGGGCCCAGGGUUUGGAAAUGUCUUCUUGGACAAGCUUAAGCCGGUCUGUUGCCACUGGAGAAGAAAUGUAUUCUUGGGUGCCCCAGGCAAAAGAUCAGAUAUCAAAUCAACUGAAGCACUCAGAAGGAAAAACAAACAGGAGUGCAUUUCCAGAUGUGGAGAGAGGAUUGCUUGGGACUCUUCGCAGGUCUUGAGAUUCCAUGUAGGCUGUGAACACUAAGGAGUGUGUGGAGCUUGUGUCUGAACUUCACCUCUCUAAUGAUGACCAUCCCUGAAAUGAAAAGAAAACCGGUGCUAAAUGGAAAUACCUUCUUUCUUUCCCUCCCACAGCUCAUGCAUAUAUCUUCUACACUCAACGAGCAUCUCUAGAGGAGGUGCCAGCUCUCUCAACAAGUAAUUCCUUUUGGCCCCAUCACAGAAGGGAAGUACAAUCAGCAGCAAUGAAGCUUCUUUAUUCCUUGCUAAUUUAGUGCCAGGACACAUGAUAUGCACAGCUUUGUGAGUGGGAGAGUUUCAAAGCAGGAAGCUUGGAUCUGACUUAGGGAGGCUGGUUAUCCACUUAUGAUACUUGACUUAGCAGAAACCAGUCCGCGUGAAAGCUGUUGUGGGGCCCCCUGCUGGCAUUGUGACAUGGAGACACUUCAUCCUCAGUGAACCUACAGUUCUCUCUGGGAAGCUUUAAGUUCAACAGGGCUGUGGACUUGAAGAGGUUCUUGCUGUAGGCUAGGAAAGUAGAUUGUAGUACUACUACUACUGCCAGUACUACCUUUUCUACUGUUUUUGGGUUUCGUGGGCCACUUUGAAACUCUAACCACAGUAUUUUCAACCUUGCAAUGGUAAAAUGCAUUGUAAAUAAAAAUUUUAACUUAAAGAAUAC
rnacentral:lncRNA from 1 species